ACUAAGAAAGUCAACAGCAUCUGACUUCCUCCAAAAGAUAAGAGCAAAGCGUACAUCAGAGUGUUUCCCUGGAGGGUGCAGCACAGAGGACAGCGAGGCUGGGGAGCUGAUGGAAGUGGAUGAGGAGAGUUCCAGCCUGCUGUAUAAUGUAGGUCCUCCCCAGACUGGAAUCAUCUAUGGCCCUGUAAAAGAAGCUGUGGCGGAUGAAGGAUCUGGGAUGUAGCCAAGCA